UCCUUCGGACCUGAUGAGGUACGGGAAUGGGACAACCUGAGGGAAGUAGUCCCUCUGCCUCUGUCCCUGGAUCCUGACACUGUUUCUUGGAGCCUUUCCCCUUCGGAAGUAUUCUCCGUUAGAUCAGCCUAUCAGGAGUUAUGUCGGAUGCCGGUUCUACAGUGGUUAUCAUCACUGUGGAAGGCACCAUUACCCUUGAAGAUUAAGAUUUUUGUUUGGUAGCUUCUCCGAGAUCGUCUACCUUCGGGGACCGAGGUCCUCAAACGUCUUGGUCCUGGUAAUGGACUUUGCCCUUUGUGCCAUGUCCCAAAAACGGGAACGCACAUUUUGUUUUCUUGCGUAGCAGCGCGGGCACUUUGGUGCUUCGUACGUGAGGCUUUAGGGCGAGAGUGGGAGGCCCAUGAUCUUGCAGGGUUUCUGUAGGUUAGGGCCACUCAGGUUGGCCGUAAGCGCCGACUAUUCUGGUUCAUCUUCGCAGCUAUGAUGUGGACUCUGUGGACUACUCGCAACAAGAUGGUGAUUGAGCGGGUGUUCCCGCGACGUGCUUCUGACUCGUUCUUCAAAUUUCUUGCAUUCCUACAGCACUGGCAUCCACUCGCUAGGCUGAGGGAUCGUGACCGUCUUCAGCGUUCCCCGGACACCCUGGUGUCUACCGCGUGUCGGCUCUCUAAGCGCUCUCUGGCUUCGUAG
rnacentral:rRNA from 1 species